rnacentral:rRNA from 1 species
GAUGAACGCUGGCGGCGUGCCUAAUACAUGCAAGUAGAACGCUGAAGCUUGGUGCUUGCACCGAGCGGAUGAGUUGCGAACGGGUGAGUAACGCGUAGGUAACCUGCCUGGUAGCGGGGGAUAACUAUUGGAAACGAUAGCUAAUACCGCAUGACAACAGUUAUUGCAUGAUAACUGUUUAAAAGGGGCAAUUGCUCCACUACCAGAUGGACCUGCGUUGUAUUAGCUAGUUGGUGAGGUAACGGCUCACCAAGGCGACGAUACAUAGCCGACCUGAGAGGGUGAUCGGCCACACUGGGACUGAGACACGGCCCAGACUCCUACGGGAGGCAGCAGUAGGGAAUCUUCGGCAAUAGACGGAAGUCUGACCGAGCAACGCCGCGUGAGUGAAGAAGGUUUUCGGAUCGUAAAGCUCUGUUGUAAGAGAAGAACGAGUGUGAGAGUGGAAAGUUCACACUGUGACGGUAUCUGACCAGAAAGGGACGGCUAACUACGUG